rnacentral:lncRNA from 1 species
CACAAAAAAAUUAUAGACAGUAUAGUGUAGCAUCAAACAUUGUCCAAUAUUAAUAUAGUACAAUGCUAAUACAGAAUAAUAAAACACAUCUACGUUAAAAUAAUGGAAUACAACAUAAUGUAAUGCAGUGUGCCAAACAUGCCCUAUGAGAAUAAUUUUUAUACUUGUGUAAAACAAAUUUACCCUAAAUCAAUUACAUCUGAUAUAACAAAUGGCAUAAUUACUCAUCAAAUUAUAUUAGUAUUAGUAGAACAAUAAUAAUUUUGCGUAUGGAAACAAGUCAUCAUCUUCUGGAGUAAUACGCUAUAUAUAUAGUGUACCAUCAUUUCAAAUGUUAAUAUGAUAUUUUGAGCAUUGUGCAUACGACUUCUUAUCCAAAUUAUCUCAUAGAAAUUGAAGUGAUGAUAAAAUAUUAUUUCAUGUAGCCUUGACGCUUAUUUUAUAAUAAAUGUUAUAGAUAUAGAAUUGUGAUUAAUAAUAUAAUAACACUCACCAUUAUCAUGGUUAAAUCUUUUAAUUAUUUCCUAUUGGCAGCCUAAUUUCCUCUUAUCAAUGUGACCGGGACUAAAACGCUAUACCUUCUAUUUUUCACACAUAAUAUUGUGGUUGUUAUGGAUACUAUCAAGAGUAAUAUUACACUUUGCACAAUUUGUAUCAUAAGUGAUGAGUCACUUAUUGAUAAAGGUUGUAAAAUUAGCACAUUAAUAAUAAAUAAUAAAAUCAACUAACACAUUACACAUGACAGUUAAUUAUGCGUGACACAUAACUAAUUAAUGAUACAAAUUGUGAAUUUGAAUUGGGUAAGUAUGUUGUAUGUUAUCAAUAAUUACCAUUGCUCACAAUAUAUACUCGAUUUAAAUUGAACUCCAUUAUGAUAUGUAUGAUUAGUGAUGUCCGUUACUCUUUCAAAUGUUCUGUUACCUAUAUUAUAUAUAUUCUCCAAUCUCCCAUUUCCAUAUGAUGGAGAGUCAAUUUUACUUAUUUUGUGCAAUUCAUGAUUGUAUAAGUAAUGUACUUCUUUUAAAAUGUAGGGUUUUUCAGGGGAUUAGGAUCAUGUCCUUAUUUAAACUUUAUUGAAAUUUUAAAAUUCACCUGUCAUUUGUCUUUUGAUGGUAAAAUUUGACUUU